rnacentral:rRNA from 1 species
AACGCGAAGAACCUUACCAGGGCUUGACAUGGGCAAGUCGCGUCCGGAGACGGGCGUUCCUGCAAGGGCUUGCCGCACAGGUGCUGCAUGGCUGUCGUCAGCCCGUGUCGUGAGAUGUUGGGUUAAGUCCCGCAACGAGCGCAACCCUCGCCUUUAGUUGCCAGCACGUUGGGGUGGGCACUCUAAAGGAACUGCCGGUGACAAGCCGGAGGAAGGUGGGGAUGACGUCAAGUCCUCAUGGCCCUUAUGUCCUGGGCUACACACGUGCUACAAUGGCGGUGACAGUGGGACGCCAGGCCGCGAGGCCGCGCUGAUCCCGAAAGCCAUCUCAGUUCGGAUUGCACUCUGCAACUCGGGUGCAUGAAGGUGGAAUCGCUAGUAAUCGCGGAUCAGCACGCCGCGGUGAAUACGUUCCCGGGCCUUGUACACACCG